rnacentral:rRNA from 1 species
GAUCAUGGCUCAGGACGAACGCUGGCGGCGUGCUUAACACAUGCAAGUCGAGCGAUGAAGCUCCUUCGGGAGUGGAUUAGCGGCGGACGGGUGAGUAACACGUGGGUAACCUGCCUCAUAGAGGGGAAUAGCCUUUCGAAAGGAAGAUUAAUACCGCAUAUGGUAGCUUUAUCGCAUGGUAGUGCUAUUAAAGGAGUAAUCCGCUAUGAGAUGGACCCGCGUCGCAUUAGCUAGUUGGUGAGGUAACGGCUCACCAAGGCGACGAUGCGUAGCCGACCUGAGAGGGUGAUCGGCCACAUUGGGACUGAGACACGGCCCAGACUCCUACGGGAGGCAGCAGUGGGGAAUAUUGCACAAUGGGGGAAACCCUGAUGCCAGCAACGCCGCGUGAGUGAUGACGGUCUUCGGAUUGUAAAGCUCUGUCUUUAGGGACGAUAAUGACGGUACCUAAGGAGGAAGCCACGGCUAACUACGUGCCAGCAGCAGC